AAAGAAGGAAGGAAAGUGAGGAGAAAGAGAAGGAGAGAAAAUCCAAUAAAAAUGAUGAGCUUGAACAGAUACCUCAAAAUGUAGGCAAGAGAUGGCCUAGAAAUAUAUUCAUCAGCAAAGUGGGAAUUAAGACUAUAAUGAAAAGUCAUGAAUAUCCAUUAGAAUGGCCAUAAUUAAAAUGAUGGGAAUUACAAAAUGCUAAUGAGGAUGCUAGGUAACAGGAACCUUGCUGGAAUGGAAAAUGGCAUAAUCACUUAGAAGAAACUUUUGGUUUCUUAAAAAGUUAAAGCAUAUGAUCCAGACAUUCCAUUCUAAGUAUUUAUACAAAAGAAACAGAAACAUAUGUUCAUGCAAUGACUUGUACACAAAUAUUUAUAUUAGCUCUGUGCACAAUAACAGAACCUGGAAACACUCCAUAGCAAUUUUGUGCACAAUUAGCAAAAAAUGGAAGUAAUCCAGGUGCUCCAACAGGUAAUAGAUAAACAGUGGAAUUAUUAGACAACAAAAAGAAACAAGUUUCUAAUAUAUAGAAUAAAAUGAACUACCACCAAGAAAUAAGUUUAUAAAACAAAAUGAACUACCACCAAGAUCAUUUUAUGUUUAGUUUAAGAAACCUGAAGCAUCUAGACGGUGGUGGCACAUACCUUUAUUCCCAGCACUCAGGAGGCAGAGGCAGGUGGAUCUCUGUAAGUUCGAGGCCAACCUGGUCUACAAGAGCUAGUUCUAGGACAGGCUUUAAAACAACACAGAGAAACUCUGCCUUGAAAAAAGCAGUAGGAGAGAGAGAGAGAGAGAGAGAGAGAGAGAGAGAGAGAGAGAGAGAGAGAGGUGAAGACUGUGAUCCCAUUUCUAUAAAAUCUUACUCAAUACAAUAAGGUUACGACAGAAAAGCCAUUCUGUGGUUCAAAGCAAAUACAUGAAUAGCAAUAGACUGGAGUCAAGAACAAACCCCUGGGGGUUUAAGAACAGUCUUCAGUUUGCUGUAGCAGUGAUCUCAUAGACACAUGCGGAGCUGUGUGUAUCACAUGAAAGCAGCCACUCACUCACCAGGAAUAUUUCACUCCAGCUGAUUUCUAAAGCAAAGUAAACUGUUGUGAGCUCACAGACUAAUCUCUGGAAUCGGGACCCAAGUUUUCCUAAAUAACACAAAUCCCCUUCCCAGACUCAUGUAAGGGGAGAUGUAUCCCCAUCUGUUGUCCUUUCCCUUCCAUCCUGCAUUUCAUCCCACCUUGUCUUUCCUUCCCUUCUGCAUCCCAUGCCAUCUAGUGUUCUAAGCUUCAAACAAUGGCAGGCAAAAAGACCACUUCUAACUAGCACAGAAUCUCCAGGUUCUGCUACAGCAACAAACAUCUGUAUCUGGGCUCAAUGUGUCUUUUCUCUCAAAGCAGGCUGAGAUAGCUGAUCUUUGUUAUGUACUUGACUGGACUUGGAAGCACAAAGAGAAGUAAGGCACACCUCUGGUAUGUCUGGGGGGCAUGUAUAUAGAAGACUGACUGAGACAGGAAGACCCAGCCUAAUGUAGACAACACCAUUUCAUGGGCUGAGGCCCACAUGGAAUGUGAGGGAAGGACCAUCAGAGGACCAGCCUCUUCCCCUUCAUUCUGCUUUCUUGUAGGUCAAGAAAUCAAGUGCUCUCCUCUGCCUCAAGCUUCCCCAUCAUGAUAUACUUCUGAUGUUCAAGUUUAGUAACCAUGGAUUGAACUUUUUGAAAUGGGCUGGAAUUGAAGACAUGUGCCACCAUCACUAAAGGCAUGCACUGCCCGGUUUCUAUAGCAACUAGUGUGGCUACUGGGAUUAAAGCACCACAGUGCCCACCGCUGGGAACAAGAGUGAAGAGAGGUGCCUGGUCCCUCUACACCCAGUUCAACCAUGGUGGGUUUUCUUCUAAUUAAUAUUAUUAUGGUAUAAUACAUUUGUUCCACAAGUGUGCACCGGCCCACAGAGGUCCAAGGAGGGCAUUAGUUUCCCCUGGAACUGGACUCACAGGCAGUUGAGAGCAUCAGAAGAAAGGGAGGUGGAGAUAUAAGGUUGUCGGCAAUCACCCCUGUUCUGGUCCUCUACCUAUUCUGGCAUGGUCUGGAAUUUAAACAGCAAGCCUAAGAGGUGACAGAUUAGAAAAGCAGAAGAAUCUAUGACUCAGCAGUGCAAUCCAGAUGACAUUGCUGCUAACAAAAGCUGAUGCUGUGAACCUGCUCAUCUCUAUUGCAAGUGGAGAUGGAGGCAUUUCCUGAUGAUUAUCCUAGGAGCCAUUGGCGUGAUCACCAGUGUGGUGAACCAUCAUCCCCAAGAGAACACCCACAUGGUGGCUCACAGCUCUCCAUAAUCUAAUUCUGGAAGAUCCAACACCCGCUGACCUCUUCAGACACCAGGAGACUUUUUCUAAAGCAUUAGCGCUGGCCUCUGGGAAGGAUCCUUGGGCGAGUCCAGCAAUGUCUGCCAGUGAUGCGAAGCCCAGCAUUCGGACAACUCAUAAUUGCAACAAGCAAAACCAGCUGGCCAUUUCUGCUGUCUCAUUUUAACAGCAGAUACAGUGGCUCCUCUCCUUCGGAAUCCUAAACAUCUGGAAAGCCCCAAUCCCUUUCAAGAAUGAUCUGCAAAAGCCACCUAGGCACUGCUCUGAAAACGUUCACCAAAGGUUACCACUGGACACAUAAGCUAGUGACUGAUAAGUUUACUGAGCCCUCUGUAACACCCGUUCUACUUGAUCUCAACUGCAGAUGAUGGUGCAAAUGGCCACCCAUUCCUUCCAGAUCUCUCCUCCUUUGACACUCAUAAUGGACAGCUCCCCAGUCUGACUCAUGCUCACUGUAUCCUUCUCAGUUAGCCAUUUUUACUGUGUAAGACAGAAGCACCAAUGACUAUACUACACACAGACUCAAAACCAAGCCCUGCUUUUCUGUAUAGUAACCACUUAAAAAUCCCAGGCAUAAUUAGCUGAUGACCAGAGGAUAGGUUUAAAUCAGCAUGUCAAGACAACAGUGAAGAAGAGCAAGACUUAUUUCUUGCUCAAGGGGAUUUCAUCACUCUUGACUGAGAACCACUACAAGGGAGGCCUUGGUUUGCAUGUACAGACUGUCUUUCACUGCUGGAGCCACUUGCUUCUCUUAAAAAAUUAAAGUUGAGUACAUCCCAUGUUCCUAUUUUUGGGUCUGGCUUACCUCACUCAGGAUAGUGUUUUCUAUUUUCAUCCAUUUGCCUGCAAACUUCAAGAAGUCCUUGUUUUUACUGCUGAGUAGUACUCUAAUAUGUAUAUAUUCCAUUCUUUCUUCAUCCAUUCUUCAAUUGAAGGCAUCUAGGUUGUUUCCACGUUCUGGCUAUUACAAACAAUGCUGCUAUGAACAUAGUAGAGCAUAUACUUUUGUUCUAUGAUAAGGCCUCUCUUGGGUAUAUUCCCAAGAGUGGUAUUGCUGGGUCCACGCUCAUAUUUGGUUUCUAGCCAUAAAUAAAGGGCAUUGAGCCUAUAAUUCGUGAUCUUAGAGAAGCUAAAUAAGAAGGAGAACCCAAAGAAAAACAUAUAGGCAUCCUCCUGAAUAUUAACCUUCAUCGGGCGAUGAAAGGAGACAGAGACCCACAUUGGAGCACCGGACUGAAAUCUCAAGGUCCAAAUCAGGAGCACAAGGAGAGAGAGCACGAGCAAGGAACUCAGGACCGCGAGGGGCGCACCCACACACUGAGACAAUGGGAAUGUUCUAUGGGGAACUCACCAAGGCCAGCUGGCCUGGGUCUGAAAAAAGCCCGGGAUAAAAACCGGUCUCGCUGAACAUAGCGGACAAGGAGGACUACUGAGAACUCAAGAACAAUGGCAAUGGGUUUUUGAUCCUACUGCACGUAUUGGCUUUGUGGGAGCCUAGGCAGUUUGGUUGCUCACCUUACUAGACCUGGAUGGAGGUGGGUGGUCCUUGGACUUCCCACAAGGCAGGGAACCCUGAUUGCUCUUUGGGCU